rnacentral:lncRNA from 1 species
AAGCUAGGCAAAAUUUGUUAUAAGUUUCAUUAAAUUUAAAGCAUUUUGAAGUUUUUCAUAUUUUUGCUGUUCCCAUGGUAACGGCGGCCAUUUUGAAUAUUCCAAAGUCAAACCCCCGCUGCAAUUUUUUCCCUCCAUAAUCAUAUACCAUUUAAUGUCUCUAGAAUAAAUUUAACAUUGAUGUUCUGGAAUGUUCUGUGAAAAUUCAAAG